rnacentral:rRNA from 1 species
CAAUAGCGUAUAUUAAAGUUGUUGCAGUUAAAAAGCUCGUAGUUGGAUUUCUGGUUGAGAGUUGAUGUCCUCUUGCUGAGUGCGCAGAGAUUCUCUACCAACCUUCUGUUAACUCUUCAUGACAUUCACUUGUCGGUUGAGGGCUCAGAUAUUUUACCUUGAGAAAAUUAGAGUGUUUCAGGCAGGCUCGCGCCGGAAUACAUUAGCAUGGAAUAAUGGAAUAGGACUUUAGCCUCUUCUGUUGGUCUGAGGGGUUGAAGUAAUGAUUAAUAGGGAUAGUUGGGGGCAUUAGUACUUAACUGUCAGAGGUGAAAUUCUCGGAUUUGUUAAAGACCAACUUAUGCGAAAGCAUUUGCCAAGGAUGUUUUCAUUAA